rnacentral:rRNA from 1 species
GAUGAACGCUGGCGGCGUGCCUAAUACAUGCAAGUCGAGCGAACAGACGAGGAGCUUGCUCCUCUGACGUUAGCGGCGGACGGGUGAGUAACACGUGGAUAACCUACCUAUAAGACUGGGAUAACUUCGGGAAACCGGAGCUAAUACCGGAUAAUAUAUUGAACCGCAUGGUUCAAUAGUGAAAGACGGUUUUGCUGUCACUUAUAGAUGGAUCCGCGCCGCAUUAGCUAGUUGGUAAGGUAACGGCUUACCAAGGCAACGAUGCGUAGCCGACCUGAGAGGGUGAUCGGCCACACUGGAACUGAGACACGGUCCAGACUCCUACGGGAGGCAGCAGUAGGGAAUCUUCCGCAAUGGGCGAAAGCCUGACGGAGCGACGCCGCGUGAGUGAUGAGGGUCUUCGGAUCGUAAAACUCUGUUAUUAGGGAAGAACAAAUGUGUAAGUAACUAUGCACGUCUUGACGGUACCUAAUCAGAAAGCCACGGCUAACUACGUG